UACGGGGGGGGCAAGCGUUGUUCGGAAUUACUGGGCGUAAAGCGUGCGCAGGCGGCUGCUCAAGUCAGGGGUGAAAGCCCAGAGCUCAACUCUGGAAUUGCCUCUGAGACUGAGUGGCUUGAGUACGGGAGAGGUGAGUGGAAUUCCCAGUGUAGAGGUGAAAUUCGUAGAUAUUGGGAAGAACACCGGUGGCGAAGGCGGCUCACUGGCCCGUAACUGACGCUCAUGCACGACAGCGUGGGGAUCAAACAGG
rnacentral:rRNA from 1 species